GUUGAGUUCCUGUCCUGACUUCCCUCAGUGAUGAGCAGCAUUGCUGAAGUAUCUUGUAGUUCGGUGAGCUGGGAUGAAGAAUCAGCUGUGAUUACCAAGAUACCAGAACUACUAAAGCGAAACUUUGCUGUGCUGGGAUGCUUGAUGCUGGUCGGCUGGAGCUAAGAAGUUAAGGAGAGACCAGCAUCCCUGUGAUGAAAUCUUCUGGGAAGCGUCUUCUCCACAGAGAAGCUAUGCUCCAGAGGUGGUCCCGGUUGUGCUUUGUGCUGGCAGCAGGACUUGGUAAUGUGUAGGAGUCACCAGGUGGUACUAGUUUUGAAGACAACCAGGAAGUAUGAGCCAAAUAAAUCCUUUCCUCCCCAACC